rnacentral:misc_RNA from 1 species
GUGCCGGAGGCCAAAGACUUUCGCGAGGGUGGACGCGCGCCGUGUUUUCUCUCGCACACCGUGAGAAUCCACUCUCCUUUACCUCUCUCUCUCUCUUUCUCUCUUUCUAUCUUUAUAUUUUUCUUUCUUUCUCUCUCUCUUUCUCUCUCUCUCUUUCAUUUAAUAUUUCCUUAUCCGUACUUUCGUUAUCUUUCUCGCACGCGUUUGAUCGUCGUUCGUACGUUCAUUCUCGGUUUCUUUCACGUCGCGUCUUCUCGCCGGGGUUUAUGUACAACGUGAAUUUUUUCUUCUAUCAUUUCUCCGUGUUGUCGUGCAAGAACCGUGGUCCGACGUUACGCGUGCCAUUUUUUGAACUCCCAUUGAAAGGCACGAUACGAAAGUGGAAACUGCAAAGAAGUUUAUUAUUUUCGAAGAGAUUAAUUGGUUUUUUUCUUUUUUAUUUUUCUUCUUUUUCGUUAAAAAAUCUUUGAUUUUGUAUCAUUUUUCUCAUUGAUUUAAACGACACGUUGUUUUAACUGUCGUGAAUUUAGUUCGAUCUCGAGAUAAUAUCGCGCCUAUAUACGAUCCCGUAAUCGGUCCCGCGUGCGUGUUCCAUCACGGCCGGAUGAUACUCUCCGAGAUACUCUGCGUCCGUGCUCGGAUUCAUUCAACGUCAUUUCGUCAAUGUCGUCGUAUUAUUCACGACAAUUCUCGAAUUUUUCUUCUACUCUCGAAAUAGAAAUGAAAUUAUUUUGGGAGUGAACUAUUAUAAGACAAAUGGACAAGGUUUUCCCAUUGGUGGUGAUCAUCACGCUGGUGUCGUCGUGAUAGAGUGGAGAGUCAAAAUAUCAGCUUGAUUGGAACCUGUUUCGUUUGGAAUCAAUUCGAAGAAAGACUAUCAAAAGGAAACGGGAGGGAAGAAGGAAAAUAACAAAGUUAAUCAGUCAAAUCCAAUAACAGGAACUUAAGAAGGAUGAUGGCCCGAUUCUUAAUAUUAGCUGGUGUUGCUGCAGUUGUGACGUCCGCCGGUGGGCAUGGUUUUGAUGCACAUUUACGUGGUCCGAGUUUCCUCAUAGAACCACCAUUGAGGGUGGAAUUUUCAAAUUCGAGCGGUGCCUGGCUGGAUUGCACGGCAUCCGGAAGUCCUCCACCUAAUAUCGACUGGUCGACUGCAGAUGGACAUCCAGUAAAUGACGUACCAACCGUAAGAAGGGUACUCAGGAAUGGUACACUCGUCCUCUUACCUUUUCCGGCAGCGGCUUAUCGUCAAGACGUACACAGUGCAGCAUAUAGAUGUGUAGCAAGUAACUCAGUUGGCAGGGUACUUAGUCGUGACGUCCAAGUUAGAGCAGUCGUCGCUCAGGCCUACAAAGUGGACGUUGAGGUAAUCGGAGGUGCAUCAAAAGGAUGCACGGCGAUACUAAGAUGCGUCGUUCCUAGUUUCGUCAAAGAUUUGGUGCGUGUUGUGUCCUGGAUUCAGGAACCAUCUUCCUACAUUUAUCCUUCGUUACAAGGAGAUGGAAAAUUUCAUCUAUUACCAACCGGUGAACUUCUCGUUCACAGUCUCGAAUUUAGCGAUCAAUUACACGGAUAUAAAUGUCGAACGAUGCAUCGACUAACCAGAUUAGUGGUGGUUAGUUCAGCUGCUAAUAUUAGAAUAGCUGAUCACAGGGGAAUAAUGCCUCCGGUUAUGCUCGAAAAUUCCGGGGUUGUUCACGUAGCUCAAGACGAAUCAACGUCAUUGGUCUGCGUCGCACAAGCUUGUCCUUCUCCUGAAUAUCGGUGGUACGCACAGACAGGUGCCGAACCCAUGCUAGUCUUGUCUGGACCGAGAACUCGUUUACUUGGUUCUAUGCUGGCAAUAGAAGCCGUAACGUUGGAAGAUAGUGGUAUUUAUAGGUGUUCCGCAUCGAAUCCCGGAGGUGAAGCUAGCGCCGAAAUCAGACUCAUAGUGACGGCACCACUUCACGUUGAAGUAACGCCAUCGCUACUGAGCGUUCAUUUGGGUGGUGACGCCGAGUUCAAGUGUGAGGUUGGUAUACAUCCUCAAGCUGGACCACACUUUAUCACCUGGUACAAGGACGGCAGGCAGCUUCCGGGCACUGGAAGACAAUCAGAAUUAUUGAGGCUAAAUGGUAUAGGUAGAGAUGACAGGGGAAUGUAUCAGUGCAUCGUCAGAAGGUCCGAGGGUGAUACAGCCCAGGCUUCCGCGGAAUUGCAAUUGGGAGACGCACCACCGGUUCUUCUCUAUUCGUUCAUCGAGCAAACUCUUCAACCAGGACCAGCUGUGUCAUUAAAAUGUUCCGCUGCUGGAAAUCCAACGCCGCAGGUCACAUGGGCUUUAGAUGGUUUCCCCUUACCGACUAAUGGAAGGUUCGUCAUUGGACAAUAUGUGACGGUACACGGUGAUGUAAUAUCUCACGUUAAUAUUAGUCACGUGAUGGUCGAAGAUGGUGGAGAGUAUUCCUGUACAGCCGAAAAUCGUGCUGGAAAAGUUACACAUGCUGCACGUCUUAACGUUUACGGUCUACCUUACAUUCGACUAAUUCCAAAAGUGACGGCAGUUGAUGGUGAACAGCUUCGUUUGAAGUGUCCAGUAGCUGGUUAUCCGAUAGAAGAAAUCAAAUGGGAACGAGCAAAUCGCGAGUUACCGGAUCAGCUUCGACAGAAGGUACAUCCAGACGGUACCUUGGUGAUAACCAACGUACAAAAGAAGACCGACGCCGGAGUAUACACCUGCUGGGCACGUAACAAGCAAGGACACAGCGCGAGAAGAUCCGGAGACGUCGCAGUAAUCGUUCCCCCAAAAAUUAGCCCGUUCAGGACAGAUCUCGAUUUUCAUCUCGGCGAACGAACGACCCUUACUUGUUCGGUGACGAAGGGCGAUCAGCCAUUAUCCAUCUCUUGGCUCAAGGACGGAAGGUCGUUGGGACCAUCGGAACGUGUCACUGUUACCAAUGUGGACCAGUACAAUAGCAUACUGAUGAUUGAAAGUUUGUCUCCAGAUCACAAUGGCAACUACUCGUGUGUGGCCCGUAAUUUGGCCGCAGAGGUAUCGCACACGCAGCAGCUAAUGGUUCAUGUACCCCCUAUUAUUGAGCCAUUUACGUUCCAAGAGGGCCUUUCCGAGGGGAUGCGGACGCGGACGGUGUGCGGGGUCGCGGCGGGUGAUCCACCCUUAACCAUAUCCUGGCUGAAAGACGGCCAAAGUCCCUUUUCCUUACUACCGAAUCUGGCAUCCGUUGCUAACAUCUCCCAAUUGGAUCCCUACUCUAGCCUCCUCAGUAUAACGAACCUUGCGGCCGAGCACUCCGGCGACUAUACCUGCGUCGCCGCGAACCCCGCCGCCGAGGUCAGGUACACGGCCAAGCUACAGGUAAAAGUUCCUCCACGGUGGAUCGUUGAACCAACAGAUAGCAUAAGUGUCGAAAGAAACAAGCACGUUGCUUUGCACUGUCAAGCACAAGGUGUACCGACACCUGUUAUCGUUUGGAAGAAAGCUACAGGAAGUAAAUCUGGCGAAUACGAGGAGUUUCGAGAACGAGCAUACACUAAAAUUUUAAGCAACGGAACCCUCCUCUUACAACACGUGAAAGAGGACAGAGAAGGGUUUUAUCUUUGUCAAGCGAGUAAUGGUAUUGGAUCUGGCAUAGGCAAAGUUGUACAAUUAAAAGUUAAUUCAUCACCAUAUUUCGCUGCACCAUCGCGAUUGGUCACGAUUAAGAAAGGUGACACUGCUACGUUACAUUGCGAGGUACACGGUGAUAAGCCAGUAACCGUAAAAUGGUUAAAAGGUGGAAAAAUUGAAUUGAAUCCUUCGACGAAUUAUCGGGUCACCAUAAAUCAGGAAGCAACGCCCGACGGUGUUCUCGCACAAAUGCAAAUUUCCUCGGCGGAAGCAUCCGACAGUGGAGCAUAUUUCUGUCAAGCUAACAAUCUUUAUGGUCGCGAUCAACAACUUGUACAACUCCUCGUACAAGAACCACCACAACCACCGAACAAUUUAGAAACAGCUAUGAUCGCUAGUCGAAGUAUUAACGUAAAGUGGCAACACAAAUCACAAGAUACAAGCGAAGUUACCAAAUAUAUACUUCAGUAUAAGGAAGGCGUAGGUGGUAUGUGGCAACAACAAGAAUUUGUCGGACCGCCUUUACCCUAUGCCGCGUUAAUCGAUGAUCUUAAACCUGCUACGAGAUACACGAUACGAGUGAUUGCUGAAGGACCAGCAGGUCGUUCGGCUCCUUCGGCAGAACUUUUGGUAAGGACCGAACCUCAAAGACCAGCUGGACCCCCUAUUAAUCUUGCUGCAAGAGCACUUUCUUCAUCGGAAAUUUUGAUUACUUGGUCACCACCGUUGCCCGAACUUCGUCACGGAGACAUACAAGGCUUUAACGUCGGUUAUAGAGAAACUAGCUCAGGAAAUCCAUCGUACAACUUCACUUCUGUAUCCGGAGAUGGUGAAGAAGGGGGCGGUGAACUUCGUUUGACGGGUCUUCGACCUUACACGAGAUACUCCUUGGUCGUUCAGGCGUACAAUCAAGUCGGAUCUGGACCUUUAUCCGAGCCAUUACUAACGCAGACAUUAGAGGAUGUUCCCAGUAAACCACCGGAAGAUGUAAGAUGUGCAGCGCUUACUUCGCAAUCUCUUCAAGUAUCUUGGCAGCCACCCUCUAAUACACAUAGUAACGGCAUUAUUCAAGGUUAUAAAUUGAAUUACGAGCCGAUUUUAGCAGACACGUGGCUUAGCGCUAACAAAAUGGAAGUACGUAAAACUAGCGCUUUAACGAUAGUUCUAACAGAUCUUAAAAAAUACACGAAUUACACAAUACAAGUACUGGCCUAUACGAGAGUAGGGGAUGGAGUUCCUACUACUGUUACUUACUGUCAAACCGAAGAAGAUGUACCUGGAAGUCCAGCUGAUAUUAAAGUGGUCGUGAGUUCGCCCCAGGCUCUUUUUAUUUCCUGGUUACCACCAUUGGAGCCUAAUGGAAUUAUCACGAAAUACAAUCUCUAUACUAGAGUUGUCGACGGUCAAGGUGAAUUAAAUCACGGCAAGAGAAACUUACCAGCUACGAACACUCAUUUCGAAGCUACGGGCUUGCAACAACACGUAGAAUAUCAAUUUUGGGUAACAGGUAUUACUCGAGUUGGCGAAGGCCAAAGUUCGAAAGUAGCUGUUCAAGUACCAACUAAUAGAGUACCAGCAAGGAUCACGUCCUUUGGUGGUCACGUCGUAAAACCAUGGAGAGAUACGGCUACCUUAGCUUGCAAUGCGGUUGGUAAUCCUACUAGAGAAUGGUUCAAAGGAACCACCACACAAAUUAGAAUUGAUACUGCCAGAAAUGCACAAAUUUCACCAAACGGCGAACUCGUCCUAUCAAAUUUACAAUCACAAGAUUCUGAAAAUUAUACUUGCCAAGUAAAAAACAUGGAAGGAAGCGAUAAAUUACAUUACAGUCUCAUUGUACAAGUUCCACCUAGUGCACCUGUAUUAUAUGUAACAAGUUCAACGUCAAGUAGUAUACUACUACAUUGGAAAUCUGGUUAUAAUGGUGGAGCACCUUUAACCGGUUACACGUUACACUAUCGUACAACUCAUGGUAAUUUAGAUGAGCUGCAUCUCUCUAGACAUGCUACUAAUCACGAACUGAAGGGCCUUCUAUGCGGGAAUACUUAUCAAUUAUAUCUAACAUCGCAUAAUAAAAUUGGUAGCAGUCCUUCGUCACCAGUACUUUCCGUACGAACUCAAGGACAAGCACCAGGAAUACCACCAUCCGCGGCUUUUCUUAAUCCUAACUCGACAUCGUUGGUUUUAAGAUUACACGUUUGGCCUGACAAUGGCUGUCCUAUUCUUUACUUCGUUAUUCAAUAUAGACCUGCGACCGAUUUUCAUUGGACUUUAGUCUCUAAUAGUGUUAAAAUGCAACGAAGGUUCAUCGUGACACAUCUAACACCAAGCACGGUAUAUCAAUUGAAGGUCGAAGCUCACAACGUUGCUGGAAGCAAUCAGGCAGAAUUUAGUUUCGUGACUUUGACAAAGGAAGGUGAACCACCACCUCCAGAAUUAUCAAAACGUGGAAUAGCAUCUGUUAUUCCCUUCUACGCGGAUGUGAAAGUUAUCCUGCCUCUGAUAAUCGCUACAAUUGCUCUAGUCUCAGCUGCCGUAAUAGUUGCAUUCCGUUGGCGAAACAGAUAUUUGGGAGACCGUGUUCAAAGACCGAUGAAGGAAUCUCAAGAAAAUCAACAAAACGCUGAAACACAACGAGAACGUUAUUACGCAACUAUUCACAAGGUCGCCCUGCAACAGGCAGCGAGUACUGGUGCAGGUCCCGACAAGAUUCCAGACAGCGGAGGACAUCUCGCCGUACGCUACGUUCCAGCUUUCGGAGGGUGGAGGGGGAAGCCUGGCAGGGCUGGGAGGAUUGGGAGGACUGGGAGGCGCGGCGGAAGCAUCUGCGGCAGGUCUACAUCCGAACAACACACUUCUUCACAGUUUCAUGUAUCACGAGCACGCUAUGACCGAGGGUUGCGCGAGUCCUCCGCCAGCGGCAACGAGUAUGAAGAGUGUCUCGUCGAGGAGACGACAACAGAGAAAGCAACAGACCCCGGGCGACGUCGAGAGCGACGAGAGCGAGUCUGACCCGGAUCAGCUGACGAGCUCUCGCACAGAGUCUUCCAAUCAACUCGACGCUGGCAAACUCAAACACAUUCGAGCCGUUUCAGACUUCAUUUAUCACGGUACAUCGAGCACUUCAUCGGACAUCUCACCGAUGUCGGAACAGAAGUCGUUACCACGAA